rnacentral:rRNA from 1 species
AUUGAACGCUGGCGGCAUGCCUUACACAUGCAAGUCGAACGGUAACGCGGGGCAACCUGGCGACGAGUGGCGAACGGGUGAGUAAUGCAUCGGAACGUACCUUAUCGUGGGGGAUAACGCAGCGAAAGCUGUGCUAAUACCGCAUACGCCCUGAGGGGGAAAGCGGGGGAUCGAAAGACCUCGCGCGAUUAGAGCGGCCGAUGCCUGAUUAGCUUGUUGGUGGGGUAAAAGCCCACCAAGGCGACGAUCAGUAGCUGGUCUGAGAGGACGAUCAGCCACACUGGGACUGAGACACGGCCCAGACUCCUACGGGAGGCAGCAGUGGGGAAUUUUGGACAAUGGGGGCAACCCUGAUCCAGCAAUGCCGCGUGAGUGAAGAAGGCCUUCGGGUUGUAAAGCUCUUUUGUCAGGGAAGAAACACCGGCUCUAACACAGUCCGGGAAUGACGGUACCUGAAGAAUAAGCACCGGCUAACUACGUGCCAGCCGCCGCCCGUAAAAC